rnacentral:rRNA from 1 species
UACGUAGGGUGCAGGCGUUAAUCGGAAUUACUGGGCGUAAAGCGUGCGCAGGCGGCUCCUUAAGUCAGAUGUGAAAUCCCCGGGCUUAACCUGGGAACUGCAUUUGUGACUGCAUAGCUAGAGUACGGUAGAGGGGGAUGGAAUUCCGCGUGUAGCAGUGAAAUGCGUAGAUAUGCGGAGGAACACCGAUGGCGAAGGCAAUCCCCUGGACCUGUACUGACGCUCAUGCACGAAAGCGUGGGGAGCAAACAGG